AUUCCAUGAUGGGGACAUUCUAGGAUGUAGUCUUGGGAGCGCUCCCAUCCUUCUGGAACGGAUUCAUCAUGUUGUUGCUGAAAACUUGUAAUCUUCCCACGGAGAGC
rfam:Sorghum bicolor cultivar BTx623 chromosome 7, whole genome shotgun sequence.